AUUGAACGCUGGCGGCAUGCCUUACACAUGCAAGUCGAACGGCAGCACGGGAGCAAUCCUGGUGGCGAGUGGCGAACGGGUGAGUAAAGUAUCGGAACGUGCCCAGUCGUGGGGGAUAACGUAGCGAAAGUUACGCUAAUACCGCAUACGAUCUAUGGAUGAAAGCGGGGGAUCGCAAGACCUCGCGCGAUUGGAGCGGCCGAUAUCAGAUCAGGGAGUUGGUGGGGUAAAGGCUCACCAAGCCGACGAUCUGUAGCUGGUCUGAGAGGACGACCAGCCACACUGGGACUGAGACACGGCCCAGACUCCUACGGGAGGCAGCAGUGGGGAAUUUUGGACAAUGGGCGAAAGCCUGAUCCAGCCAUGCCGCGUGCAGGAUGAAGGCCUUCGGGUUGUAAACUGCUUUUGUACGGAACGAAAAGGUUUGGCCUAAUAAGCUGAGCUCAUGACGGUACCGCAAGAAUAAGCCCCGGCUAACUUCGUGCCAGCCGCCGCAGUAA
rnacentral:rRNA from 1 species